AUUGAACGCUGGCUGCAGGCCUAACACAUGCAAGUCGAGCGAGCGGCGGACGGGUGAGUAAUGUAUGGGGACUGCCCGAUAGUGUGGGCUAACUACUGGAAACGGUAGCUAAUACCGCAUCCUAUCGGAUAACCCAUAUGUGAUUAGCUAGUAGGUGAGGUAAUGGCUCACCUAGGCGACGAUCCCUAGCUUGUCUGAGUGGAUGAGCAGCCACACUAGAACUGAGACACGGCCCAGACUACUACGGAGGCAGCAGUGGGGAAUAUUGCACAAUGGGCGCAAGGCUGAGGCAGCCAUGCCGAGUGGAUGAAGAAGGCCAGAGGGUUGUAAAGUACUUUCAGUCGGGAGGAGUUACCGAAAGAAGAAGCACCGGCUAACUCCGUGCCAGCCGCCGCGGUAAUAC
rnacentral:rRNA from 1 species